AGACGAGGGGUCCAAGCGUUGUUCGGAAUCAUUGGGCGUAAAGCGGGUGUAGGUGGCUCUAUAAGUCAGGAGUGAAAGCCCUAAGCUUAACUUAGGAAGUGCUUUUGAUGCUGUAGAGCUUGAAUGUGGGAGAGGAUCGUAGAAUUCCUGGUGUAGUGGUGAAAUACGUAGAUAUCAGGAGGAAGGCCGGUGGCGAAGGCGGCGCUCUGGAACAUACCUGACGCUGAGACACGAAAGCGUGGGGAGC
rnacentral:rRNA from 1 species